AUGGCACCCACCUGCGUUGCGGAGCUUCUUGUUGCGGUAGACGGAGAAGAUGACCAGCAGGUUGCCCAGGAUGUCCACCACGAUGGUGAAGAUGAGGAAGCAGCCCAAAGUUGUGGUGACCCACGGCGGGCGGCUCAGAGAGGCGGCGUCUGUGUCGUCGGGGUCCGGCGCGGUGCUGUUCAGCUCAGACCCAUUUGUGACCAUUGUACAGGAAUGGCACCGCGCGCCCGCCGAACUUUUCCCCUCGAAGUGUGGCCGGGCACGGUGCGCUAUUGGCGGGAUCCCGAGAGUGCCGGGGGUCGGUAGCCUGGCGCGGCUCCCCUCCUCAUCCUCCAGUUUCUUUGGAGCCGUGGAGGUCCCCGUUUGACACGGCGCUUCAUAUUGUCAUGACGUGGACUAUGGGGUGUCUGUUUUCCCGAGAUGCAAGAAUACUUGGAUCGGACAUGGCUUGGAGCUCCGCCCCCUCAGCUCGGAAUCAGUAGUCAUGACAACAGCACAGCUCCGCCCCGGCAAAGAGACGGAGAACGAGGAUUAUUGAGGUCACUGAUCAUUCCGUGUGUGUGUGUGUAUGUGUGUGUGUGUGUGUGUGUGUGUGUGUGUGU